rnacentral:rRNA from 1 species
UACGAAGGGGGCUAGCGUUGCUCGGAAUCACUGGGCGUAAAGCGCACGUAGGCGGCUUUCUAAGUCAGGGGUGAAAUCCUGGAGCUCAACUCCAGAACUGCCUUUGAUACUGGAGAGCUUGAGUCCGGAAGAGGUGAGUGGAACUCCGAGUGUAGAGGUGAAAUUCGUAGAUAUCGGGAGGAACACCGGUGGCGAAGGCGGCGACCUGGGUAGAUACGUGACGCUGAGGUGCGAAAGCGUGGGGAGCAAACAGG